rfam:Triticum urartu cultivar G1812 contig597629, whole genome shotgun sequence.
ACUGUACUCCCUCCGUUCCAAAUUACUUGUCUUAGAUUUGUCUAGAUACGGAGGUAUCUAGCAAUAAAAUGAGUCUAGAUACAUCCGUAUCUAGACAAAUCCAAGACAAGUAAUUCGGAACGGAGGGAGUACAUG